AGGGCGGCAGGGAGGCGGGGAGAGAGGAAGCAGGGGCAAGUUCAUCUGCUGCCUCCCAGGAUGCAUUAGCGAUGGUGGCUUGGACAGUGCCUGGCUGCCUGGUGGCGGAGCCGGCCCGGAGCAGGUGGGCGGGGCGGGGGAGAGGCAAGCCCAGCGAGGGUGACAGAGCUGGGGCUGCUUGCAAGUCUUCCUGCGCACCGGCCCGGCUCCUUCCUGGUGACUCAAGACGGCUCCACAGAAUUGGAGAAGUGAGGCUGUCCUCCCGGUCGAACCGCUUACGGCAUCACAUCCGGCCCAGUAUCUGUGCUGGUGGCAGCAGGGCCAGAGCCAGGGGGCUGGCGUCCACGCACACGCUUCCCAGCCGCGUGCCGGAUCAGUGUGUGGGGGGGGAUCCCUUCAGCAGGGCGGUGCCUCGGAGCGACAGGUGAAGGGGCCCCAAGGAGCCCAGGGGACACACGGACGGGGCAGAGGAUGGCCGGCAACUUCCUGCAGGGUUUCUCGGAACGAAUAAAGAAACAAAGAAAGAUAAAUUCAAGGGCAGUGGAUGCCAGUUUUGAGGCCUGAUGGACGGCAGAUCAACUUCCUCCGCGGGUCCUCCCGGCAGAGCGGUGAGCAAACCGUCACCGUGUGAGUCAUGAGCACCCCGCCUCUCGCAAUGCAGAGGAACCCACACAGCGCUUCCUGGUGACCCUGGGAGCUCCACGCCGCCUCUUUCCUGUGUGGGCUGCCGCGAUCCCCACGCCGGGGUGGAGCUGCGGCAGGAGCAGCGGGGGCGGCACGGGGGCUCAGCGCUGGCUCUCGCCUGUCCGCAGGCCAGGACCUCGCCUCGAGGAGCUGGCCGCUUCCUAGGGCACGUGGGGUCCUCGCCGUGUUUGCCUUUCUGGAGGUUCGUUCUGUGGGGUGCAGCUUGCAGAACAAGACACGGAAGAGACGGCAACGGGGCCUGCGCUGAGGAAGCCUGAACAGGUCUCCCGUGCUCCGCUCCGAGGCCCUGCCCACCCAAGAACCCACCCUCGGGCCCGGAAUUGAGGAGUAAGAGCCCAGCGUCUGUGAACAAGGCCCCAAGCUGCAGAAACAAACAGGAGCCAGCGGCCGGCUGGCGGGCACAACUCGGCUGGACUCCGCUCGCGCGUGUUUAGGAAGAGAAGGUGGACACGAAGACCACGUGCUGAAUGUGGACAUGGAGCAACCAGUGUGGCCUGGGGCUGGCAGCACAGGGCCGAGGAGCCCUGGCCUGGGGGGUGGUGGCAGAUGAACAGGUGGAUGGCACUGGCGGCCACAAAGCCACACGACUUCCCCAAAACCCACUGCACCCCACCCAGGGGGAACUGGCGCUGAAAAUCAAAGCUCCAGAAGCUGUUAGAAAUGGAAUUUUAGUGUUGAGACUGCCAGAAAGCUAAAACUGCUAGUGUGACAAAGUAUGCAGCUUACUGUAGGCCCUAAAUUACGUGUCUAUUGCACCAACUGCUUAAGAAAAAAUCCUAUUUACUUUGGCUAUGAUAAAUACAUUUUCCAAUUAAUUACUGAGUUUUUUUAAAUGAGAGUUUUAAUAAAAACUAUUUCUCCAUUGAU